rnacentral:rRNA from 1 species
CCCUUAGAUGUUCUGGGCUGCACGCGCGCUACACCGAAGCUAUCAACACGUUUUCCCUCCCUGAGAAGGGCGGGUAACCUUUUGAAUCAGCUUCGUGGUAGGGAUCGGGGCUUGCAAUUGUUCCCCGUGAACCAGGAAUUCCUAGUAGACGCGAGUCAUAAGCUCGCAUCGAUUAAGUCCCUGCCCUUUGUACACACCGCCCGUCGCUACUACCGAUUGAACGUUUUAGUGAGGCAUUUGGACCGACGCAUCUCAGUUUAACCGCUGGUUUGUGUUGGAAAGACUUCCAAACUUGAGCGUUUAGAGGAAGUAAAAGUCGUAACA